CUGCAGGGCAGUCCGUCGCGGAUGCGGCCGAUGAUCCCCGCGGAGGGAUCGACGCGGCAGUACAGAGCGCCGCCCGUGGCCGCCACCGCCACCAUCCAACUGGACGGGGAGAUCGGGUACAGCCCGCACAGCACGCGGUUCUGCAACGCAAUGCAAUGCAAUGCAAUGCAAUGCAAUGCAACCCCGGGUACAGCCCGCACAGCACGCGGUUCUGCAACGGAAUGCAAUGCAAUGCAACCCCGGCCCGCACAGCACGCGGUUCUGCGGGGGGGGGACACAAUGCACCCCCAUACGGACACACGGGGACACAAUGCAAUGCAAUGCAAUGCAAUGCAACCCCGGGUACAGCCCGCACAGCACGCGGUUCUGCAAUGCAAUGCAAUGCAAUGCAAUGCAACCCCGGAUACAGCCCGCACAGCACGCGGUUCUGCAACGCAAUGCAAUGCAAUGCAAUGCAAUGCAACCCCGGGUACAGCCCGCACAGCACGCGGUUCUGCAAUGCAAUGCAAGGCAAUGCAAUGCAACCCCGGGUACAGCCCGCACAGCACGCGGUUCUGCAAUGCAAUGCAAUGCAAUGCAAUGCAAUGCAACCCCGGGUACAGCCCGCACAGCACGCGGUUCUACAACGCAAUACAACGCAAUGCAAUGCAAUGCAGUGCAAUGCAACCCCGGGUACAGCCCGCACAGCACGCGGUUCUGCAACGCAAUGCAAUGCAAUGCAAUGCAACCCCGGGUACAGCCCGCACAGCACGCGGUUCUGCAAUGCAAUGCAAUGCAAUGCAAUGCAACCCCGCACAGCACGCGGUUCUGCGGGGGGGGGGGGGGGACAUAAUGCACACCCAUAGAGACACACGGGGACACAAUGCAAUGCAAUGCAAUGCACCCCCAUACGGACAUGUGGGGACACAAUGCAAUGCAAUGCAAUGCACCCCCAUACGGACAUGUGGGGACACAAUGCAAUGCAAUGCAACCCCGCACAGCACGCGGUUCUGGGGGGGGGGGGGGGGGACACACAAUGCAAUGCAAUGCAAUGCAAUGCAAUGCAAUGCAACGCAAUGCAACCCCGCACAGCACGCGGUUCUGCGGGGGGGGGACAUAAUGCACCCCCAUACAGACACACGGGGGGACAUAGAGCUCCAUAGGGACACACAGAGGGACAGAGAGGGACAUAGGGGGACAUAGAGGUCCAUAGGGGGACAUGGAGGUCCAUAGGGACACAUAGGGGGACAUAGAGCUCCAUAGGGGGACAUAGAGGGACAGAGAGGGACAUAGAGGGACAUAGGGGGACAUAGAGGGACAUAGGGGGACAUAGGGGUCCAUACAGACACACAUGGGGACAGAGAGGUCCAUAGGGGGACAUAGGGGGACAUAGAGCUCCAUAGGGGGACAUAGAGGGACAUAGGGACACACAGAGGGACAGAGAGGGCCAUAGGGACACAGAGGGGGACACAGCAACCCGUUGGGACAUACAUGGGGACAUAGAGGUCCAUAGGGGGACAUAGGGGGACAUAGGGACACACGGGACACAAUGCACACCCAUAUGGGGCACAAUGCACACCCAUAGGGACACACGGGGCACAAUGCACACCCAUACACACCCAUAGGGACACACAGACAGAGCAGCCCAUAGGGACAUACAUGAGGACAUAGAGCUCCUUAGGGACACAUACGGGGACAGAGAGGGACAUAGGGGGACAUAGGGACACAUAGGGGGACAUGGAGGUCCACAGGGGGACAUAGGGACACAUAGGGGGACACAGAGCUCCAUAGGGGGACAUAGGGGGACAUAGGGACACACAGAGGGACAGAGAGGGACAUAGGGGGACAUAGAGGGACAUAGGGACACACGGGGACAUAGAGCUCCAUAGGGGACAUAGAGAUCCAUAGGGACACGUGGGGACAUAGAGGUCCAUAGGGGGACAUAGGGGGACAUAGGGACACAUAGGGGGACAUGGAGGUCCACAGGGGGACAUAGGGGGACAUAGAGGUCCAUAGGGGGACAUAGGGGGACAUAGGGACACAUAGGGGGACAUGGAGGUCCACAGGGGGACAUAGGGGGACAUAGAGACACACAUGGGGGGACAGAGUGACCCAUUGGGACAUACACGGGGACAUAGAGGGACACAGAGGUCCAUAGGGACACAUAGGGGGACAUAGAGGGACAUAGGGGGACAUAGAGCUCCAUAGGGGGACAUAGGGGGACAUAGGGACACACAGAGGGACAGAGAGGGACAUAGGGGGACAUAGAGGGACAUAGGGACACACGGGGACAUAGAGCUCCAUAGGGGACAUAGAGAUCCAUAGGGACACGUGGGGACAUAGAGGUCCAUAGGGGGACAUAGGGGGACAUAGGGACACAUAGGGGGACAUGGAGGUCCACAGGGGGACAUAGGGGGACAUAGAGACACACAUGGGGGGACAGAGUGACCCAUUGGGACAUACACGGGGACAUAGAGGGACACAGAGGUCCAUAGGGACACACAGAGGGACAUAGAGGUCCAUAGGGGGACAUAGGGGGACACAUGGGGACAUAGAGCUCCAUAGGGACACAAAGGGGCACAUAGAGGUCCAUAGGGGGACAUAGGGGUCCAUAGGGACACACAGAGGGACAUAGAGGGACAUAGGGGGACAUAGAGGUCCAUAGGGGGACAUAGAGGUCCAUAGGGGGACAUAGAGGGACAUAGGGGGACAUGGGGGGACAGAGCGACCCGUUGGGACAUACAUGGGGACAUAGAGGGACAUAGGGGGACAUAGAGGGACAUAGGGGGACAUAGGGACACACGGGGCACAAUGCACACCCAUAGGGACACACGGGGACACACAGACAGAGCAGCCCAUAGGGACAUACAUGAGGACAUAGAGCUCCUUAGGGACACAUACGGGGACAGAGAGGGACAUAGGGGGACAUAGGGACACAUAGGGGGACAUGGAGGUCCAUAGGGGGACAUAGAGGGACAUAGGGGGACAUGGGGGGACAGAGCGACCCGUUGGGACAUACAUGGGGACAUAGAGGGACAUAGGGGGACAUAGAGGGACAUAGGGGGACAUAGGGACACACGGGGCACAAUGCACACCCAUAGGGACACACGGGGACACACAGACAGAGCAGCCCAUAGGGACAUACAUGAGGACAUAGAGCUCCUUAGGGACACAUACGGGGACAGAGA
ensembl:lncRNA